UACGUAGGGAGCGAGCGUUUGUCCGGAUUCAUUGGGCGUAAAGAGCUCGUAGGCGGCUUGGUAAGUCGGAUGUGAAACCUCCAGGCUCAACCUGGAAUCGCCAUCCGAUACUGCCAUGGCUAGAGUCCGGUAGGGGCCCACGGAACUCCUGGUGUAGCGGUGAAAUGCGCAGAUAUCAGGAAGAACACCGGUGGCGAAGGCGGUGGGCUGGGCCGGCACUGACGCUGGAGGAGCGAAAGCGUGGGGAGCGAACAGG
rnacentral:rRNA from 1 species